GAUGAACGCUGGCGGCGUGCCUAAUACAUGCAAGUCGAACGAAACUUCUUUAUCACCGAGUGCUUGCACUCACCGAUAAAGAGUUGAGUGGCGAACGGGUGAGUAACACGUGGGCAACCUGCCCAAAAGAGGGGGAUAACACUUGGAAACAGGUGCUAAUACCGCAUAACCAUAGUUACCGCAUGGUAACUCUGUAAAAGGUGGCUAUACUACCGCUUUUGGAUGGGCCCGCGGCGCAUUAGCUAGUUGGUAGGGUAAAGGCUUACCAAGGCAAUGAUGCGUAGCCGAAUUGAGAGGUUGAUCGGCCACAUUGGGACUGAGACACGGCCCAAACUCCUACGGGAGGCAGCAGUAGGGAAUCUUCCACAAUGGGCGAAAGCCUGAUGGAGCAACGCCGCGUGGGUGAAGAAGGUCUUCGGAUCGUAAAACCCUGUUGUUAGAGAAGAAAGUGCGUGAGAGUAACUGUUCACGUUUCGACGGUAUCUAAACAGAAAGCCACGGCUAACUACGUG
rnacentral:rRNA from 1 species